rnacentral:rRNA from 1 species
GUGCCAGCAGCCGCGGUAACACGGGGGGAGCAAGCGUUGUUCGGAAUCACUGGGCGUAAAGGGCGUGUAGGCGGUCAAGUAAGUGGAAUGUGAAACGCCUCGGCUUACCCGAGGACCUGCAUCCCAAACUGCUUGGCUUGAGUAUGGGAGAGGAUGAGGGAAUUCCUGGUGUAGCGGUGAAAUGCGUAGAUAUCAGGAGGAACACCGGUGGCGAAAGCGCUCAUCUGGCCCAAUACUGACGCUGAGGCGCGAAAGCUAGGGGAGCAAACGGGAUUAGAAACCCCGGUAGUCC